ensembl:lncRNA
CCUUGUUAUUUUUUUCUGUGUGUUUAAUCACGUGGUUAUGACUAUCAUGUCUGUGGUUUUCUCUGCUCCAAUCAUGCUUUUGAAAAUGAGGUCUUCUUUGAAUCAUCACCUCAACUGGUGGUUAACUAGAGCUCUACAUAAUGCUAUGAUGUUCCAACCUACUUUGAAAUCAUAUCAAGUCAUUAGCGUUCAGAGGUUUCUAGAACGAGAGAGAACUGUCGACUUGAGAAUGAGAACUAAAGAUUUAAUUUUGCUCGGUUUCCAUGUUUUUUUUUUUUUGUUUUUUUUUACUGUAAUCUAAUUUUCAGUACUGGACCAUGUGAACUGGAUUGAAAACCACUAAAUUUGAAACUAUUUUGAACCAGAGAAGACAACUAGAACUUACAAACUAUGGAUUUUGGAGGGUAACACUUGCUGCAAAUUUGCUCAAGAACACACUUUGGAGAAACAGACUUUGAUGCAAGACGCUGUGGCUAAUGAGCUCUCAUCAAGUCAAACUCAGAUCUCUGUCCAAUGUAAGGAGAACCCUGAGGGUCAAGACGGAAUAGUGCUGUUUGACACGGUGCAAGUCUUUCCCAUUGUCAACAUCCUUUGUCCUACCAGGGUAGAAGAUCUUCAUGAUGGUCAUAGCAAACAGCAGUAGAUCUCUCUCAUCGGCUAGAACUUAUAAGACCACACACAAACAAACAGCAGUAUAGGGUUCCAGCGAGCACCAUCAAACCUUGACAGAAGCAUGCAGCACAUCUGUUCUUCAAUUAUUGGCUGCCUGUAACUGCCUGCAUCAAAUUCAAAGCUCUGAUGCAUACAGUACCACAUCUGUCAGCACCCUCUAAUCUAAGCUUGCUUUUUCAGAUUUAUAAACCCCUGUUGUCAGUCAGUGAGUGACUCCUCAUUGAAUCAUAUGAGGUUAUUUUCAAGUAUCUUUACAAGCCCUCGCUUUACCUUCAG